GGAGAGGUGACAGAGCGGCCGAUCGUGCGGCACUGGAAAUGCCGUGUACCCUUGUGGUACCGGGGGUUCGAAUCCCCCCCUCUCCG
rnacentral:tRNA from 1 species